AUUGAACGCUGGCGGCAGGCCUAACACAUGCAAGUCGAGCGGAUGAAGGGAGCUUGCUCCUGGAUUCAGCGGCGGACGGGUGAGUAAUGCCUAGGAAUCUGCCUGGUAGUGGGGGAUAACGUCCGGAAACGGGCGCUAAUACCGCAUACGUCCAGAGGGAGAAAGUGGGGGAUCUUCGGACCUCACGCUAUCAGAUGAGCCUAGGUCGGAUUAGCUAGUUGGUGGGGUAAAGGCCUACCAAGGCGACGAUCCGUAACUGGUCUGAGAGGAUGACCAGUCACACUGGAACUGAGACACGGUCCAGACUCCUACGGGAGGCAGCAGUGGGGAAUAUUGGACAAUGGGCGAAAGCCUGAUCCAGCCAUGCCGCGUGUGUGAAGAAGGUCUUCGGAUUGUAAAGCACUUUAAGUUGGGAGGAAGGGCAGUAAGUUAAUACCUUGCUGUUUUGACGUUACCAACAGAAUAAGCACCGGCUAACUUCGUG
rnacentral:rRNA from 1 species